UACAGAGGUCUCAAGCGUUGUUCGGAUUCAUUGGGCGUAAAGGGUGUGUAGGUGGCGCCGUAAGUCGGGUGUGAAAUUUCGGAGCUUAACUCCGAAACUGCAUUCGAUACUGCCGUGCUUGAGGACUGGAGAGGAGACUGGAAUUUACGGUGUAGCGGCGAAAUGCGUAGAUAUCGUAAGGAAGACCAGUGGCGAAGGCGGAUCUCUGGACAGUUCCUGACGCUGAGGCACGAAGGUCAGGGGAGCAAACGGG
rnacentral:rRNA from 1 species